rnacentral:rRNA from 1 species
AUGGAGCCCAUCCCUCUUCUCACGCCGUACAAGAUGGGCCAGUUCGACCUCGCCCACAGGGUGGUUCUGGCGCCGCUGACGAGACAGCGCUCCUACGGCAACGUGCCGCAGUCACAUGCCGCCGUGUACUACUCCCAGCGCGCCACCGCCGGCGGCCUGCUCAUCGCCGAGGCCACAGGGGUCUCCGACACGGCGCAGGGCUACAACGACACCCCGGGGAUCUGGACGGCGGAGCACGUCGAGGCGUGGAAGCCCAUCGUCGCUGCUGUGCACCAGAAAGGCGCGCUGUUCUUCUGCCAGAUCUGGCACUGUGGCCGGGUGUCCACGUUCGAGCUGCAGCCAGGCGGCACCGCACCACUGUCGAGCACAGAGAAGGGGGUCGGCCCGCAGAUGAGCUUCGACGGCCGGCUAGAGGAGUUCGCGCCUCCGAGGAGGCUGACGGUGGAGGAGAUACCUGCCAUCGUCGACGACUUCAGGAAGGCCGCCAGGAACGCCAUCGACGCCGGUUUCGACGGUGUGGAGAUCCAUGGCGCUAACGGGUACAUCAUCGAGCAAUUCCUCAAAGAUAGUGCCAACGACCGCAUAGACGAGUAUGGUGGUAGCCUCGAAAACCGGUGUCGUUUCGCUCUCGAGGUGGUUGAUGCUGUUGUCAAGGAGGUCGGCGGCCACCGUGUGGGCAUCCGCCUCUCCCCAUUCACCGACUAUAUGGACUGCCACGACUCUGAUCCCCACUCCCUUGCACUUUACUUGUCCACCAAACUCAACGACCACGGCAUCCUCUACAUCCACAUGAUCGAGCCGAGGAUGGCCAUUGUGGACGGACGAAGAGUGGUGCCGAAGCGGCUGCUGCCGUACAGAGAGGUGUUCAAAGGGACCUUCAUCGCAAAUGGUGGAUACGACCGUGAAGAAGGGGGCAAGGUGGUCACCGAGGGGUACACUGACUUGGUGGCCUUCGGGCGGUUAUUCCUGGCGAAUCCCGACCUGCCAAAGCGGUUCGAGGUCGGCGCGGAGCUGAACAAGUAUGACAGGAUGACCUUCUACACGUCCGACCCCGUCGUCGGCUACACCGACUACCCAUUCCUCGAGUAA